rnacentral:rRNA from 1 species
AUUGAACGCUGGCGGCAUGCCUUACACAUGCAAGUCGAACGGCAGCACGGGUGCUUGCACCUGGUGGCGAGUGGCGAACGGGUGAGUAAUACAUCGGAACAUGUCCUGUAGUGGGGGAUAGCCCGGCGAAAGCCGGAUUAAUACCGCAUACGAUCUACGGAUGAAAGCGGGGGACCUUCGGGCCUCGCGCUAUAGGGUUGGCCGAUGGCUGAUUAGCUAGUUGGUGGGGUAAAGGCCUACCAAGGCGACGAUCAGUAGAUGGUCUGAGAGGACGACCAGCCACACUGGGACUGAGACACGGCCCAGACUCCUACGGGAGGCAGCAGUGGGGAAUUUUGGACAAUGGGCGAAAGCCUGAUCCAGCAAUGCCGCGUGUGUGAAGAAGGCCUUCGGGUUGUAAAGCACUUUUGUCCGGAAAGAAAUCCUUGGCUCUAAUACAGUCGGGGGAUGACGGAACCGGAAGAAUAAGCACCGGCUAACUACGUG